AUGGGACAUUGAGGGGACAGCAUUGGGACCCCAUAGGGACAGCAUGGGGACAUUGAGGGGACAGCAUUGGACCCCAUAGGGACAGCAUUGGGACACUUGAGGGGCAGCAGCAUUGGGACCCCAUAGGGACAGCAUUGGGACCCCAUAGGGACAGCAUUGGGACAUUGAGGGGACAGCAUUGGGACCCCAUAGGGACAGCAUUGGGACCCCAUAGGGACAGCAUUGGGACAUUGAGGGACAGCAUUGGGACAUUGAGGACAGCAUUUGGGACCCAUAGGGACAGCAUUGGGGACAUUGAGGGGACAGCAUUGGGACCCCAUAGGACAGCAUUGACCAUUGGACAGCAUUGGGACAUUGAGGGGACAGCAUUGGGACCCCAUAGGGACAGCAUUGGGGACAUUGAGGGGACAGCAUUGGGACCCCAUAGGGACAGCAUUGGGACAUUGAGGGGACAGCAUUGGGACCCCAUAGGGACAGCAUUGGGACCCCAUAGGGACAGCAUUGGGGACAUUGAGGGGACAGCAUUGGGACCCCAUAGGGACAGCAUUGGGACAUUGAGGGGACAGCAUUGGGACCCCAUAGGGACAGCAUUGGGACCCCAUAGGGACAGCAUUGGGACAUGAGGGGACAGGCAUUGGACCCCAUAGGGACAGCAUUGGGGACCCCAUAGGGACAGCAUGGGACAUAGGGACAGCAUUGGGACCCAUAGGGACAGCAUUGGGACCCCAUAGGGACAGCAUUGGGGACAUUGAGGGGACAGCAUUGGGACCCCAUAGGGACAGCAAUGGGGACACCAUAGGGACAGCAUUGGGACCCCAUAGGGACAGCAUUGGGGACAUUGAGGGGACAGCAUUGGGACCCCAUAGGGACAGCAUUGGGACCCCAUAGGGACAGCAUUGGGGACAUUGAGGGGACAGCAUUGGGACCCCAUAGGGACAGCAUUGGGACCCCAUAGGGACAGCAUUGGGGACAUUGAGGGGACAGCAUUGGGACCCCAUAGGGACAGCAUUGGGACCCCAUAGGGACAGCAUUGGGACAUUGAGGGGACAGCAUUGGGACCCCAUAGGGACAGCAUUGGGACCCCAUAGGACAGCAUUGGACAUUGAGGGGACAGCAUUGGAACCCCAUAGGGACAGCAUUGGGACUGCAUUGGGGUAUCAUUGGGGACACCUUUCGGUAUUGUUUUGGA
rnacentral:lncRNA from 7 species